rnacentral:rRNA from 1 species
AUUGAACGCUGGCGGCAGGCCUAACACAUGCAAGUCGAACGAGUGGCGGACGGGUGAGUAAUGUCUGGGAAACUGCCCGAUGGAGGGGGAUAACUACUGGAAACGGUAGCUAAUACCGCAUACCAUCGGAUGUGCCCAGAUGGGAUUAGCUAGUGGGUGGGGUAACGGCUCACCUAGGCGACGAUCCCUAGCUGGUCUGAGAGGAUGACCAGCCACACUGGGACUGAGCAAGGGCCCAGACUCCUACGGGAGGCAGCAGGGGGGAAUAUUGCGCAAUGGGGGCAACCCUGACGCAGCCAUGCCGCGUGUAUGAAGAAGGCCUUAGGUUUGUAAAGUACUUUCAGCGGGGAGGCGUUACCCCCAGAAGAAGCACCGGCUAACUCCGUGCCAGCCGCCGCGGUAAUU